rnacentral:rRNA from 1 species
GACGAACGCUGGCGGCGUGCUUAACACAUGCAAGUCGAACGGAAAGGCCCUGCUUUUGUGGGGUGCUCGAGUGGCGAACGGGUGAGUAACACGUGAGUAACCUGCCCUUGACUUUGGGAUAACUUCAGGAAACUGGGGCUAAUACCGGAUAGGAGCUCCUGCUGCAUGGUGGGGGUUGGAAAGUUUCGGCGGUUGGGGAUGGACUCGCGGCUUAUCAGCUUGUUGGUGGGGUAGUGGCUUACCAAGGCUUUGACGGGUAGCCGACCUGAGGGGGUGACCGGCGCCCUGAGGCCUGCGGGAGGCAGCGGCUCGCAAGGGGGGACAAUGGUGGGAAAUCUGACACAGUGGGGGGGAGUGAGAGACAGAAGCCGCGGGGGGGGAAAGCGGGCUUGGGGGGUAAAAACCGUUUGGGCCUGAGACACAGGGUGGGUGACGGUAAGGGAAAAAGAAGCACCGGCUAACUACGUG